UAGGGAAUAUUGGACAAUGGGCGAAAGCCUGAUCCAGCAAUGCCGCGUGAGCGAUGAAGGCCUUAGGGUUGUAAAGCUCUUUUACCCGGGAUGAUAAUGACAGUACCGGGAGAAUAAGCCCCGGCUAACUCCGUGCCAGCAGCCGCGGUAAUACGGAGGGGGCUAGCGUUGUUCGGAAUUACUGGGCGUAAAGCGCGCGUAGGCGGCUAUUUAAGUCAGGGGUGAAAGCCCGGAGCUCAACUCCGGAACUGCCUUUGAGACUGGAUAGCUAGAAUCUUGGAGAGGCGAGUGGAAUUCCGAGUGUAGAGGUGAAAUUCGUAGAUAUUCGGAAGAACACCAGUGGCGAAGGCGGCUCGCUGGACAAGUAUUGACGCUGAGGUGCGAAAGCGUGGGGAGCAAACAGG
rnacentral:rRNA from 1 species